GUUACAAAUCUGGCUGUCGAGAUGCCUAAAAAGCAUUUCAUAGCAAGGGCCGGGCAAGACCGGUGCCAGCCGCCGCGGUAACACCGGCGGCUCGAGUGGUAACCGUUAUUAUUGGGUCUAAAGGGUCUGUAGCCGGCCGGAUAAGUCUCUUGAGAAAUCUGGCAGCUUAACUGUCAGGCUUUCAGGAGAUACUGUCUGGCUCGAGGCCGGGAGAGGUGAGAGGUACUUCAGGGGUAGGGGUGAAAUCUUGUAAUCCUUGAAGGACCACCAGUGGCGAAGGCGUCUCACCAGAACGGACCUGACGGCAAGGGACGAAAGCUAGGGGCACGAACCGGAUUAGAUACCCGGGUAGUCCUAGCCGUAAACGAUACUCGCUAGGUGUCGGCCACGGUGCGACCGUUGUCGGUGCCGUAGGGAAGCCGUGAAGCGAGC
rnacentral:rRNA from 1 species